rnacentral:rRNA from 1 species
AAACCAGCACCUCAAGUGGUCAGGAUGAUUAUUGGGCCUAAAGCAUCCGUAGCCUGUUCUGUAAGUUUCCGGUUAAAUCCAUUAGCUCAACUAAUGGGCUGCCGAAAAUACUGCAGAACUAGGGAGUGGGAGAGGUAGACGGUAUUCGGUAGGAAGGGGUAAAAUCCUUUGAUCUAUUGAGGACCACCUGUGGCGAAGGCGGUCUACCAGAACACGUUCGACGGUGAGGGAUGAAAGCUGGGGGAGCAAACCGGAUUAGAAACCCGAGUAGUCC